GACGAACGCUGGCGGCGUGCUUAACACAUGCAAGUCGAACGGAAAGGCCCUGCUUUUGUGGGGUGCUCGAGUGGCGAACGGGUGAGUAACACGUGAGUAACCUGCCCUUGACUUUGGGAUAACUUCAGGAAACUGGGCUAAUACCGGAUAGGAGCUCCUGCUGCAUGGUGGGGGUUGGAAAGUUUCGGCGGUUGGGGAUGGACUCGCGGCUUAUCAGCUUGUUGGUGGGGUAGUGGCUUACCAAGGCUUUGACGGGUAGCCGGCCUGAGAGGGUGACCGGCCACAUUGGGACUGAGAUACGGCCCAGACUCCUACGGGAGGCAGCAGUGGGGAAUAUUGCACAAUGGGCGGAAGCCUGAUGCAGCAACGCCGCGUGCGGGAUGACGGCCUUCGGGUUGUAAACCGCUUUCGCCUGUGACGAAGCGUGAGUGACGGUAAUGGGUAAAGAAGCGCCGGCUAACUACGUG
rnacentral:rRNA from 1 species